rnacentral:rRNA from 1 species
UACGUAGGGUGCAAGCGUUAAUCGGAAUUACUGGGCGUAAAGCGUGCGCAGGCGGUUGUGCAAGGCCGAUGUGAAAUCCCCGGGCUUAAACUGGGAAUGGCAUUGGUGACUGCACGGCUAGAGUGUGUCAGAGGGGGGUAGAAUUCCACGUGUAGCAGUGAAAUGCGUAGAGAUGUGGAGGAAUACCGAUGGCGAAGGCAGCCCCCUGGGAUAACACUGACGCUCAUGCACGAAAGCGUGGGGAGCAAACAGG